rnacentral:rRNA from 1 species
AGUGAACGCUGGCGGUAGGCCUAACACAUGCAAGUCGAACGGCAGCACAGUAAGAGCUUGCUCUUACGGGUGGCGAGUGGCGGACGGGUGAGGAAUACAUCGGAAUCUACUUUUUCGUGGGGGAUAACGUAGGGAAACUUACGCUAAUACCGCAUACGACCUACGGGUGAAAGCAGGGGAUCUUCGGACCUUGCGCGAUUGAAUGAGCCGAUGUCGGAUUAGCUAGUUGGCGGGGUAAAGGCCCACCAAGGCGAUGAUCCGUAGCUGGUCUGAGAGGAUGAUCAGCCACACUGGAACUGAGACACGGUCCAGACUCCUACGGGAGGCAGCAGUGGGGAAUAUUGGACAAUGGGCGCAAGCCUGAUCCAGCCAUACCGCGUGGGUGAAGAAGGCCUUCGGGUUGUAAAGCCCUUUUGUUGGGAAAGGAAAGCAGCAGGUUAAUACCCCGCUGUUCUGACGGUACCCAAAGAAUAAGCACCGGCUAACUUCGUG